CCUACGGGGGACAGCAGUGAGGAAUAUUGGUCAAUGGACGCAAGUCUGAACCAGCCAUGCCGCGUGCAGGAAGACGGCUCUAUGAGUUGUAAACUGCUUUUGUACGAGGGUAAACGCAGAUACGCGUAUCUGUCUGAAAGUAGCGUACGAAUAAGGAGCGGCUAACUCCGUGCCAGCAGCCGCGGUAAUACGGAGGAUUCAAGCGUUAUCCGGAUUUAUUGGGUUUAAAGGGUGCGUAGGCGGUCGGAUAAGUUAGAGGGGAAAUCCCGCGGCUCCACUUCGGAAUUGCCUCUGAUACUGUUCGGCUAGAGAGUAGUUGCGGUAUGCGGACUGUCUGGUGUAGCGG
rnacentral:rRNA from 1 species